UUUUGUUAAUACAAUAUUACGUGAAAUGCUUAUUAAUAGUGCUGCUUAUUUAAAGUACUACGUUACAGAAUCUGUUUUGUUAAUUUUUACCAUCAAUGCAAAGACAAACAUGUAUUUGCGUGCUAAUUUUGCUACUUUAUUACAUUCAUGUUUGUUUUAGGAAAGUACAUAUGCGCAUGAAAAAUUGUUGCAUUGUCUAAGGUCCAAUUCCAAACUAGUUGAAGUGGAAUUCAUUUAGUUAGUUUUAUGACACAUGCUAGUAAGUAUUUUGCAAUUCAUUUAGUUCCACUCUUUUUCAUCUUGCAUGUUCUGGUACUACAAUCAUGCCACUAGUUCGGGAGAGUGAGAGGGAAAGGAGGGCAUUCCUCGCGGAACAUAAACGCAUGGGUGAUGUGUAUGCUAAGCUAAGGGGUGCAUUGAUUACAUGCAUCGGGAGGAGUUAGCCGCAAGACUUGAAGCACAAGAGAGAGCAUUUGAAGAGAUACAAAAGAAGCAGCAAGAAGAAUUGGAAGCUCUAAAGAAGAUCCAACAAGAGAAGAAUGAAGCCUAGGAAAAGAAGCAAAAGGAGAUGGAUAAUCUUCUUGAUUUUCUCUUGAGGGCUCAAGCAACUUAGCAAGCAACCCUGUAGUCCUAGUCCAAACCAGAUGGUUCAUGAAAGCCAUCCUUACAUUGCAAUCAUCAGGACAACAUAUGUGGUCUUUAGUUAAUAUUAGUUUUCA